CGGGGUAGGAGUAACGCGUGAGGAGCCUGCCUCAAAGAGGGGGACAACAGUUGGAGACGACUGCUAAUACCGCAUAAGCCCACGGGUCGGCAUCGACCUGAGGGAAAAGGAGCAAUCCGCUUUGAGAUGGCCUCGCGUCCGAUUAGCUAGUUGGUGAGGUAAUGGCCCACCAAGGCGACGAUCGGUAGCCGGACUGAGAGGUUGAACGGCCACAUUGGGACUGAGACACGGCCCAG
rnacentral:rRNA from 1 species